UACGAAGGGUGCAAGCGUUACUCGGAAUUACUGGGCGUAAAGCGUGCGUAGGUGGUGAGUUAAGUCUGUCGUGAAAGCCCCGGGCUCAACCUGGGAAUGGCGAUGGAUACUGGCUCGCUAGAGUGCGGUAGAGGAGAGUGGAAUUCCCGGUGUAGCAGUGAAAUGCGUAGAUAUCUGGAGGAACACCGGUGGCGAAGGCGGCAUCCUGGACCGGGAUUGACACUGAGGCGCGAAAGCCAGGGGAGCAAACGGG
rnacentral:rRNA from 1 species